rnacentral:rRNA from 1 species
GGCGUGCCUAAUACAUGCAAGUCGAGCGAACAGACGAGGAGCUUGCUCCUCUGACGUUAGCGGCGGACGGGUGAGUAACACGUGGAUAACCUACCUAUAAGACUGGGAUAACUUCGGGAAACCGGAGCUAAUACCGGAUAAUAUAUUGAACCGCAUGGUUCAAUAGUGAAAGACGGUUUUGCUGUCACUUAUAGAUGGAUCCGCGCCGCAUUAGCUAGUUGGUAAGGUAACGGCUUACCAAGGCAACGAUGCGUAGCCGACCUGAGAGGGUGAUCGGCCACACUGGAACUGAGACACGGUCCAGACUCCUACGGGAGGCAGCAGUAGGGAAUCUUCCGCAAUGGGCGAAAGCCUGACGGAGCAACGCCGCGUGAGUGAUGAAGGUCUUCGGAUCGUAAAACUCUGUUAUUAGGGAAGAACAAAUGUGUAAGUAACUAUGCACGUCUUGACGGUACCUAAUCAGAAAGCCACGGCUAACUACGUGCCAGCAGCCGCGGUAAUACGUAGGUGGCAAGCGUUAUCCGGAAUUAUUGGGCGUAAAGCGCGCGU